ACCUAUCUCCCAAAAACCUAAAAGCAGCCACAGAUAGUUUGGCGGGUAGGUGAACAAUUUGCCUACAGGUUUGGCACAUUCUUAAGCCAGGAAUCAGUUUCCAACAGCUGACAAAGAAGCUCAUUCUGCGUGCUGACUGAUGGCAGCAAAUUUACAGUAGCCAGCUACAAAGAAGAAAAGCGAGUAGUCAUUUACAGUAACUGGACGAGCCAGCUAUCUAGCUAUCUAGCUUAGCUAAUGACCGAGAAGCACUGAGCUAGCUACACACGGCGGAAUCACUGAAAGCGGUGCAGUGGCCGGAGGAGGCGAGGCCGUCGUCGAAGUUCUGGGAGUAGCUCUGCAGGUCGUACCCGAACUUCACUGCAGGCCGCCUCGGCCGCCCCGCGCUUCUCCUCCAUGUGGACCUCAGCCUCGACAGCAGCUGCUUCGCCGCCGCCGAGGCCACCGACGACCGCCCGCCGCUCCUGCCGUCGACCCUUCUCCGGCUGCCGCCGGUGUACAGGCCCAGCCGAGACGCCAUGAUCCUCUCUCGAUCGCUCGUAGUAGCGCUGUCACGACUGAAAUCUCACAGCUGAGCUAAUAAUAAUUAGGCACCAGGACGCUCUUGACUCCUGUCUCACAGGCGCGUGCAGCUUCUCAGAGACCUUUGCCUGGAUGAUCGAUGCCUGCCGUGCCGCUGCUUUUAUAGGCUGCGACCGGAUCGGAAUGAAUCGGAUAGGGUUCCUGCUGUCGAGGUCCCCGGCCGGGCCCACCGGCACGCACGCACUGAGUCACUAACGCACAGGGCCACGACGGCAUCCACCAGGAUGGAUUCUCGAUCGGCUGGGCAAAAGCCGAUUUCAGGCAUCUUUUACGGCGUCGCCUUCGGUCAGAAAAGAAAAGAAAGGUGACCACCAACAACCAACCUAUCGAGCUGAAUUCGGAUAUGCUGCCCAGCCCAGCCCAGUCAUCAACUCAUCAUGCGUAGGAUCGAUGAACAUGGGAGCAGAGAAGGUUCAGAGGUUCAUGAUUUCAUCUACCCCUACAAGGCUAAAACGAAUUUUGCAAAGCGCCGUCGUCAGAAAAGAGAAAGCAAGCGCACUAACGUCAAAGCAAAAAUCUCUAGCUGAGAGAGGAAGCUGCUAUUUGCGUGCAUGUGAUGGUGUAGUCAUCGCCUGAUCGGAUGAUGGGCAGAUCACGCGAAAAGGACGGUCGUUGGUGGUGGCGAUAUGGGGAUCGGGGUCCUACAAAUCAUCCGAUCCGAGUCAUCGUGGUCCAAGUAUGACUUGGCCGUUUUGGCUUUUGCCCCCAUCCGAUCUCGAGAUUUUGCUGAUGGCGCUCCCUUUUGCUUGUGUUUAGAUCGAUCAGUAGCUUUAACUUCGCUACUAAGAAAAAUUUGGAGUGAUUUGAUACAAACUAUUCCUUCUUCUUCUUUGGAAUCAGAAUCAAAAGUUCUCAUAGCAGGAUGCAGGAAUGUAAAAACGUUGAGAGAAUCUAGUAGCAAAAACACAAGUUACGGUACUGAGAAACAUGAGAAGAAUUGAAGUUUCUACACUUGCUGAUGCAAACGUACACUCACAGCUCGACGGUUGCACCGGGACCUAGGAUCGAUCACGUGAAAAACAUUCGGUUCGGUUCACGUACGUUUACCUCCCAAGAAAUCCACAAGCAGACGCAGAUACUUUGGCCGGCGGGGAAGAUGAACAACUUGCAUUGGCUGCAGGUGCGGCACAUGCGUAGUAACUAGUAGUAAGCCAGAAAUCAUAACAAAACCACAUGCAGACAGAAGCGACCAUUCCUUUCCAAGUUUGCAAACCCAGAAGCUGAACAACAAACAAAGCACCAACACAAUCACUUUGUGUUUUGCACACAUAAUUACAAAACCAUUCUGCGUGUUGACUGAUGGUGGAUUUACAUUAUCUAACUACUCCGUACAAAGAAGAGAAGCGAGUCAAUUACAGGAACUGCAUGCCGAACUGGAUGUGGCCGCUAUCUAAUCACCGGCCGGGAAUACAAUCACUGAGCGAGCUAGUUACACGGGAUCACUGAAAGCAUGUGGCAGGAGGAGCCGAGGCCAUCGUCGAAGUUUUGGGAGUAGCUGUGCAGGUCGUACCCGAACGACCUCACCGCGGCCCGCCUCGGCCGUGCCGUGCUUCUCUGCCUCCACGUGGACCGCAGCCUCGACAACAGCUGCUUCGCCGCCGCCGCCGCCGCCGACCGCCGGCAGUGGCCCCUCCUCCGGUUGCCGCCGGUGUACGCGCCCAGCUGAGACGCCAUCCUGUCCCGAUCGCUCACAGCUUAGAUGAGCCGCAGUAGCACGCUUGUGUGCCUCGUGUCUGAACUCUAUGCCUCUCUGACCCUGCAGCUGCGAACUUCUGAAUCACACCUUUGUCUCCGCUGGACGACGGCUGCCGUGCUGCGUAUUUUAUAAGCUCGAGUGCUCGACGGACCGAUUGGAUGGGAAUCCGAUGCAUUGGGCCGGUUCCUUCGUUACCAGAGAGCCGACGACGAGCCAACGUCGCCGGCCGGGCCCACUGACGCUCACGCACCGAGUCACUCACGUACGGGUACAGCCAGGGCGCCGGUGGCAUCCACUACGCGAGUCGGAUUCCCGAUCCGAAUGGUUUUCCAGGCAAAAAAAGCCGAUUCCGGGGGGCAUCUUUUUUGGGCGUCGCCCGCCAUCAGCCAGAAAAGAGGCUUGCUUGGCGACAGCCGGCAAAUGGCGACGGGGUGUGGGCGUGUGGCGUAACGGGAGGUCGGCUCCUCCGUGUCCUGCCCGAGGGAUCAUGUCCGAAACGAAAACCGACCGGCAGUUGGGCACGGCCUGUUCCAUCCAUGUGUGGAGCUGUAGGCAGGCCAACGAGGCCAUGCGCACGCAAGUAGCGUGCGCGAACGUGUGGAAUGUCACACAUGCACAAUGCGUUCGCCCGCAUGCAUAAAUAGCGCCGAUCGAUCAUGGCAUCUCAGGGUCCUCGUGAUCUGAUUUUUCCUUAAAAUUUGCUAGACUAAAUUAGAAUGCCCUUUACCACCCUAGGAAUGCGAUGCCACUGCUGCAGAUCGGCUGCACAAUUUGUUUUCCUUAAGUCAGCUGAUAGCUGAAAGCUUUAUAAUAAGAGAAUAGCUGCGUGCAUUUUUGCAGAGGCUGGAGAUACAUCUCUAUUUUCUAAAAGAAAAUCUAUGUUGUGCAUAAUACUUAUAUGUGCUUAGGAGGUGAAAACAUGGUCUUGUCCAGUCAUCAUUCGUUGAAUCGAGAUGGGAACAGACAACGUGUCAUCUACCGAAUACAACGGAUUUCUUCACCCCGCAAAUUAAAGUGUCACCAGUCUGAUCAAAUGAUUGAUAGCUGGGAGCGAGCCAGGAAGCUUCGAGUCAUCCGUUUGAUGCGACAUUUAUAUUGAAACCACAACAGUAGUAUCACAAACGGCACGUAUAUAAAGUUUUAAGAUGUCAUAACAUAAUCUUCAACACAUAUUCUACUAAAACAAGAACUAAUCAUGUCUAGGCUUUCUAGGUGGCCUAGGCAAGUAUGUAGCCCGAUUCUUGCUAGCUUGAAAUGUCUUCCUGAUUUCAUCUCCAUCAAUGCCUCUAAAAAUUUCCUUCUCAAUGUAGCACAAUAUCAAGCUACUAAGCCACUCAUCGUUCAUUCUAUUCCGUAGAUCUGUCUUGAUUAUAUUCAUAGCCGAAAAAGCUCUUUCAACAGAUGCUGUUGCUACUGGUAGAAGCAAUGCUAACUUAAUGUGCCGAAAGACCAAUGGAAAAGCAAUAUCUCUUUCAUGUUUAACCAUUUUUAUAGCCAAACUUCCAAAAUCAGGACAAUCUUUGAAUAAAUACUCUUUGCAUAUGUAUGACAAAGGUCUCAAGUUGAUCUCUUAUAUUAGAACGCUCAAUGUCAGUGAAAUCUUGAUCAUAUAUUUCAGUCAAUCGAGCAAUCUUUUCUAUAUCAAACUUAGCAAAAGAAUUUCUUGGAUCAAGACAAGCGAAGGAAACAAGCAACUCUGAUGAUACCUCAUUGAAGCGAUGGUCCAUCUCUGUCAUAAUAGCAUCAAGAGCAGCCAGGAAAGUAUCAACACAAUAAUGAUGUUCUUGAGUGAUUAAGUUACCAUCUAGCCUUGACCGACCCCAUCUAGGUAUUGUCUCAUCCAUGUUUGGCACUGGAAUCAUCUUAUCAUUGCAAAAUGAUAUGACUUCAUCAAGUAAUGGCUGCCAGCCUUCAUUUCUCAAAGUGACCAGCCGUGUUUCACAUCAAUAAGCAAUGACAAGGCCUGAACAAUAUUUUGAUCCUUCCGUUGCAGCAAGAGAGACAACUCAUUAGUAAUGCGAAGCACUUUCAACAUGAACUUCAUAUUCAAAACAAAAGAGAAGCUCUCCAUUUUGCGCACCAAACCACCUGCUCGACUAGUAUUACGCUCAUCCUCAUGAACCAUUGACAGCACCUUGACAACAGAAUUCCACAUUGACUCAAUACGAGCUAAUGUUGUUAAAUGAGAACCUCAUCUUGUACUUUGAUGCUUCCCCUUUCCUGAAAAGAUUUCACCACUUUCCAAUCUUUCCAAAAUUUCUUCUCGAUGCUUUGCGAUUAGCUUAUCUUUUCUUUUACAUGAUGAACUUGCACUAGUCACAAUUAAGCUCACAUAGUUGAAGAAAUCAUCAAAGGAUGAACAACUAGAUGUAACAGAAACAAUGACUAGUUGCAAUUGGUGGGCAAAGCAGUGAACAUAAAAAGCAUAUGGGUUCUCAUCACGAAUUAGUUUUUGCAAACCAUUGAAUUCACCUCUCGUAUUUGAUGCUCCAUCGUAUCCUUGUCCCCGUAGUCUACCAAUAGAUAAUCCAUAAUUGGCAAGCAUUUGAAGCAAAGACUUCUUUAGUGAUUUUGAUGUUGUGUCCUCAACAUGCUUCGGACCCAAAAACCUUUCCACAACCAUUCCUUAAUUGUUCACAAAUCUGCAAAAAAAAUGAUAAUACUAGUAUUAAUAAACAAGUAUAGCACAGAUGAAUAAUGAAUCUUUCUGAUUUACUCAUGUAACAAACUAACCUUACAAUAACAGCCAUUUGCUCUGCUAUUGAGACAUCACGAGAUUCAUCAAUGAGAACGGAAAAAAGAACGGUAAUGCUUCUUCUGCAUCAGCAACCACAGAUUGAACCUGCUCUUGAUCUUGAACCACACGGUCAACACCUUCAGAUUCCAAAGCAGCCACAUUUUGACUUUCCCUAGUACUUGGGCGGAGGAACCAGAACCAGAGCCAACACUCAAAUUCGAAAAGAAGCUCUUCAAAUCUACAGAAAUCACAUUGAGCACAUGAAUAAAUGCUAAGAGUUCCAAUUCAAUUGAGAGCAGAGGAUACUUGAUUUUACCCCUUGUUACCAUUUUCUUCUUGCCAAUUGGAAGACAGGGGCGAUUUGGGGCGCCUCGCCCUCGCCCAACGCCGACGCCGACCGGGACCAUGCUCUGCUGCUCAUCAUCAGGAGCUUCCGGUGCCGCCCCUCUUCCACGGCCGCGCAUUUUCCAUCUCCAUUUCUUUUGAGAAUCUAGCUAGUAUACGUCAUCUGUGCAUCCUCUGUUGAUAUAACGGCUAGAACCAUUUUCGCCUAUUAUAAUCGUAAGAGAAAAGUGAAUGCCUUACCGGUCUGUUAUUCAACAAUUCUUCUGAGCACGUCACGUCAGAUAAAAAGAAACGGAAACUAGAGUGUCCGAUGCUGUGUUGAAUGUUUGUACGAUCGAUAACGUAAAACACAUGCACAUCGGCCGUACUUUUCCUCUGUGCUGAAGAACCAGAGCACGGCCAGUACUGUGCGGCCAUCUUCUAAUUUCAGUGUUUAAUCUAGUGGCUUUGACAGCUUAUUAUUAACUGAUCUCCCAAAAAAAUCUACAAGAGGCGCAGAUAGUUUGGGAGAUGAGCAAACCACAAAUCAGAACAGAGAACAGAAGAUUUCAGGAUGAGAGGUUAGACAUAAUCUAUUCCAUUCCAAAGCUUUCAACAGCCGAACAAAGCAUAAUUUCUGCUGAUGGAUGGCAGGUAGGUUUAGUCUUGCACACACAUGCAGUAUAUACACAGAAGAAGCGAGUAGUGAUCCUGUACAAAGGCUGGACGAGCUAGCUUCCUAAUCGCCAUUGGAGAUCAGCUAAUAUUCUCCAGGUGAGUACUAGGCACAAUCAUUUACACACAUAACUAGAGAAGAAAGUGAAGGGAUAAUAGCAGCUCUAGCUACAACCGGCGGCGGUCGGAGGAGGCGAGGCCGUCGUCGAAGUUCUGAGAGUAGCUCUGCAGGUCGUACCCGAAGCUCACCGCGGCCCGACGCCUCGGCCGCGCGGCGCGUCUCCUCCUCCACGUGGACCUCAGCCUCGACAGCAGCUGCUUCACCGCCGCCGCCGACCGGCCGCCGCUCCUCCUCCGGCUGUUGCUGCCGCCGGUGUACAGGCCCAGCUGCAGAGACGCCAUCCUCUCCUAGCUCUCUCGAUCAGUCGAUCGCUAACACGAUCACAGUCGGAGCGUUAUGUUAUGAUCAGAACGCAGACUUGUCGCGCUCGCAAGUCGCAACUAGCUGCCCGCGGCCUCUCUGCUCGUAGCUACCUCUGCAAUGAAGCUUCUCAAGACCUUGUGCCAGAGAACGCACCCCAUGGUGCUGCUUUU
rnacentral:lncRNA from 1 species